rnacentral:rRNA from 1 species
AUUGAACGCUGGCGGCAUGCCUUACACAUGCAAGUCGAACGGCAGCGGGGGAGAAGCUUGCUUUUCCUGCCGGCGAGUGGCGAACGGGUGAGUAAUACAUCGGAACGUGCCCUGUAGUGGGGGAUAACUAGUCGAAAGAUUAGCUAAUACCGCAUACGACCUGAGGGUGAAAGUGGGGGACCGCAAGGCCUCAUGCUAUAGGAGCGGCAGAUGUCUGCUUAGCUAGUUGGUGGGGUAAAGGCCUACCAAGGCGACGAUCAGUAGCUGGUCUGAGAGGACGAUCAGCCACACUGGGACUGAGACACGGCCCAGACUCCUACGGGAGGCAGCAGUGGGGAAUUUUGGACAAUGGGCGAAAGCCUGAUCCAGCAAUGCCGCGUGUGUGAAGAAGGCCUUCGGGUUGUAAAGCACUUUUGUCCGGAAAGAAAUGGCUCUGGUUAAUACCUGGGGUCGAUGACGGUACCGGAAGAAUAAGGACCGGCUAACUACGUGCCAGCAGCCGCCGUAA